rnacentral:rRNA from 1 species
CCUACGGGUGGCAGCAGUGGGGAAUAUUGCACAAUGGGGGAAACCCUGAUGCAGCGACGCCGCGUGAGUGAAGAAGUAUUUCGGAUUGUAAAGCUCUAUCAGCAGGGAAGAAAAUGACGGUACCUGAUUAAGAAGCCCCGGCUAACUACGUGCCAGCAGCCGCGGUAAUACGUAGGGAGCGAGCGUUGUCCGGAUUUACUGGGUGUAAAGGGAGCGUAGGCGGGACGGCAAGUCGGGGGUAAAAUCUACGGGCUCAACCGGUAGCCGCACUUGAAACUGCAGUUCUUGAGUGAAGUAGAGGCAGGCGGAAUUCCUAGUGUAGCGGUGAAAUGCGUAGAUAUUAGGAGGAACACCAGUGGCGAAGGCGGCCUGCUGGGCUUUUACUGACGCUGAGGCUCGAAAGUGUGGGGAGCAAACAGGAUUAGAUACCCCAGUAGUC